UACGUAGGGUGCAGGCGUUAAUCGGAAUUACUGGGCGUAAAGCGUGCGCAGGCGGUCUAUUAAGACAGGUGUGAAAUCCCCGGGCCUAACCUGGGAACUGCGCUUGUAACUGAUAGGCUUGAGUGUGGCAGAGGGGGGUGGAAUUCCAGGUGUAGCAGUGAAAUACGUAGAUAUCGUGAGGAACACCAGAGGCGAAGGCGGCUUCCUGGACAAUUGCUGACGCUCAGGCACGAAAGCGUGGGGAGCAAAAGGG
rnacentral:rRNA from 1 species